GAUGAACGCUGGCGGCGUGCUUAACACAUGCAAGUCGAACGGAAAGGCUCCUGCUUGCAGGGGUACUCGAGUGGCGAACGGGUGAGUAACGCGUGGGUGAUCUGCCCUGCACUUCGGGAUAAGCCUGGGAAACUGGGUCUAAUACCGGAUAGGACCACAUUUUGGAUGGUGUGGUGGAAAGUUUUUCGGUGUGGGAUGAGCUCGCGGCCUAUCAGCUUGUUGGUGGGGUAAUGGCCUACCAAGGCGUCGACGGGUAGCCGGCCUGAGAGGGUGUACGGCCACAUUGGGACUGAGAUACGGCCCAGACUCCUACGGGAGGCAGCAGUGGGGAAUAUUGCACAAUGGGCGCAAGCCUGAUGCAGCGACGCCGCGUGGGGGAUGACGGCCUUCGGGUUGUAAACUCCUUUCGCUAGGGACGAAGCGCAAGUGACGGUACCUGGAGAAGAAGCACCAGCUAACUACGUG
rnacentral:rRNA from 1 species